AUGAACGCUAGCGGCAGGCUUAACACAUGCAAGUCGAGGGGUAUAGGUUUCGGAUCUAGAGACCGGCGCACGGGUGCGUAACGCGUAUGCAAUCUACCUUUCACAGAGGGAUAGCCCAGAGAAAUUUGGAUUAAUACCUCAUAGUAUUAUAGAAUGGCAUCAUUUUAUAAUUAAAGUCACAACGGUGAAAGAUGAGCAUGCGUCCCAUUAGCUAGUUGGUAUGGUAACGGCAUACCAAGGCAACGAUGGGUAGGGGUCCUGAGAGGGAGAUCCCCCACACUGGUACUGAGACACGGACCAGACUCCUACGGGAGGCAGCAGUGAGGAAUAUUGGUCAAUGGGCGCAAGCCUGAACCAGCCAUGCCGCGUGCAGGAUGACGGUCCUAUGGAUUGUAAACUGCUUUUGCACAGGAAGAAACAACGCUACGUGUAGCGUCUUGACGGUACUGUGAGAAUAAGGAUCGGCUAACUCCGUG
rnacentral:rRNA from 1 species